GACGAACGCUGGCGGCGUGCUUAACACAUGCAAGUCGAACGGAAAGGCCUGCUUUCCCUUGUGGAUUGCAGGUACUCGCGUGGCGAACGGGUGAGUAACACGUGAGUGAUCUGCCCCCAACUUGGGUAUAAGCCUGGGAAACUGGGUCUAAUUCCCGAUAGGACUGCAGGGUGGUGCCUGUGGUGGAAAACGAUUUUCUAGUGGUUGGGGAUGAGCUCGCGGCCUAUCAGCUUGUUGGUGGGGUAAUGGCCUACCAAGGCGGCGACGGGUAGCCGGCCUGAGAGGGUGGACGGCCACAUUGGGACUGAGAUACGGCCCAGACUCCUACGGGAGGCAGCAGUGGGGAAUAUUGCACAAUGGGCGGAAGCCUGAUGCAGCGACGCCGCGUGGGGGAUGACGGCCUUCGGGUUGUAAACUCCUUUCGACCGCGAGGAAGCCACCUGGUUGGAAGGGUGGUGACGGUAGUGGUAGAAGAAGCACCGGCUAACUACGUG
rnacentral:rRNA from 1 species